ensembl:lncRNA
CUGAGCUAUUCUGCUUACGUUCUGUGACCCGGCUUACUUGGAAGUAUGGGCCUUAGUUUUGCGCCAAGCUACGUGAACUGAAGUGCUGCUGUUUUGCCUUGCUGUGCUUUUACCGUCUGUUCCCGUUGUGAGAAUUCUUUCCCUGCUGCUGUCAGCUUUUACAGUGGACGUCGGCGUGGACAACGGCCAUAUGCAUGCCGGUUAUCGGAGUCAGCUGGCGUGCAUAUUGAUUGACUGUUAACUUAUCGUCGUGUGGACGGCAAGUUGGAGCAGUACGGCGAUUCCGUUUGCUCCAGAUUUUAGAGUUUUAUCCAGAUUGUAUGUUGUUUUAUUGCUUUUUGAUUUGUAGUUUGGAUUCUCUGUUACACCACUGGUGGGAGGCCCUUUUUCUAGCUGUGGAUCACCAGUGUGGUCCUGCAGUUGGGUUAUCCCCCGGUGCUACACAUUAGUUUGUUGUAAUAUAUUAAAAUUUUCUUUGUUUUUUUUUAUUCAGAUGCGGAGUGCCGACGUGGAGGAGACUAGGGUGCCUUGGUGGUGGGAUCCCUUGAGUGUACACACCUGCCUUGUUUAGUUUAUUAGUGUGAGUGUGUGUGAUAGUGUGUUGCACUUGUGUUUUGGGUGUGUUUUCUUUCUUUAGUUUGUGUGUGGCAUCCCUGCCCCUCCACUGGUAAGCCUCAGCUCUGAAUACCUUUUUAAGCAUAUUUGUACUUGAAUAUUUAUGAUUGUGCUUUUAUAUGGUGUUUUAAAUAAUUAUUAAUAAAUUGUGAAUUUGUUGAUCAUUGAACCUCGUCUCUGGACUGAGUAUAGCGAACCUAAGUGCCUUUCUGGUGAUUUAGUGUUACUUUCAGUAUUCUCUGGGUGAAAUUCCCAGGGUGGCGUUGUCUUUUUAAAACUGCAAAGAGUAUUUACUUUAUACCCCAUCCUCGUCUCGCCACACGGGCUUGGAACUGACACUAGUUUAGGUCUCCUGAGGCUGGGUUUGUGUCUCCUCCUGGUCUCAAACUAAGGAUCUUUAGUGUACAAGGUGACUGUGUUAACCAACAUACCAUAGAUGUCAAAGUAAGGCUGAGUGACCUUAAAUUAUUUUAACACAUGUACAUCCCAGACUUUUAGAUGCCUC